GACGAACGCUGGCGGCGUGCUUAACACAUGCAAGUCGAACGGAAAGGCCCUGCUUUUGUGGGGUGCUCGAGUGGCGAACGGGUGAGUAACACGUGAGUAACCUGCCCUUGACUUUGGGAUAACUUCAGGAAACUUGGGCUAAUACCGGAUAUGAGCUCCUGCUGCAUGGUGUGGGUUGGAUAGUUUCGGCGGUUGGGGAUGGACUCGCGGCUUAUCAGCUUGUUGGUGGGGUAGUGGCUUACCAAGGCUUUGACGGGUAGCCGGCCUGAGAGGGUGACCGGAAACAUGGGGACUGAGAUACGGACCAGACUGCAAAGGGAGGCAGCAGUGGGGAAUAUUGCAAAAUGGGCGGAAGCCUGAUGCAGCAACGCCGCGUGCGGGAUGACGGCCUUCGGGUUGUAAACCGAUUUCGCCUGUGACGAAGCGUGAGUGACGGUAAUGGGUAAAGAAGCACCGGCUAACUACGUG
rnacentral:rRNA from 1 species